GUGUCAGCCGCCGCGGUAAUACAGAGGUGGCAAGCGUUGUUCGGAAUUACUGGGCGUAAAGGGCGCGUAGGCGGUCUUGUAAGUCUUGUGUGAAAUCCCUCGGCUUAACUGAGGAACUGCACGGGAUACUGCGAGACUUGAGAUCGGGAGAGGGAAGCGGAAUUCCGGGUGUAGCGGUGAAAUGCGUAGAUAUCCGGAGGAACACCGGUGGCGAAGGCGGCUUCCUGGACCGACACUGACGCUGAGGCGCGAAAGCUAGGGGAGCAAACGGGAUUAGAAACCCUGGUAGUCC
rnacentral:rRNA from 1 species